ACCUUCUCUUGAUACCUGAGCUUUCUCUUUUUGAACUACGCAGGAAAUAGACGCGAUUAUAAAGUUUGUUUUUCUUUUCUUUUUCUUUUUUUUAAUAGAUAGAUGACCAUAGAAACUCAAACAAUAGGUGUCUAGUAUGUCUUCAUCUUCACUUUCAAAUCACUUUAUACAGCAAAAAUGGUUAAGAAUGACAUCUCCCUCCAAUAAGGAAAUUACACUCCAGUCAGUCGAUUAUCUUUCUUGAAACGAUAAAAAAAAUUAUCUCCUCCUAAUGCGAGUUUUCACCAGGUAGAUUCUCCUCUAUUAACAUUUGCCUAAUUGAGUUAACAGAUUCCUCAUGCUGACAGUAACUGGCAACAAAAUUAUUAUCUUCAAACCACACACGUCUGGGAGAUCCUUGAACUACAUUGCAGGUGAAUUCUUUCUAAUAAGAGUUCAGAAAAUGUGAGAAUUCAAACCAAUAGUUCAAUCCAUCCUCAUAAUAUCCCAUUUAAUGCCCCCUGAUAGUAAUCAUAUUGUCGUAUUUGCCAUGCGUCCAGGAUGCAUCUAAUCAUAGAAAGCACCAAGGACACAUUGCUGUAGACACCAACAAAUCCAUGAAGGACGAGCAUAAAAAAAUGAUAAACUAGUAAAGCAACAUAAGAAAAUAUUAAAACUUAGUUAUAAAUUAGUGUAACUUACUGCAACCAUAUGUAACAUUGAAUAAGUCAAUUGUUUUUUUAAUAAGUUAUGAAUCAGUUAGUGGAAUUGGUCUCUUGUUUGUUGAAUAAGUUUAAAACACAUUGGCUUUUUCAGUUUGAUUAGUUCAGAAACUUUAGGAGAAUUUCUCACUAUAAAUUGCACUUGUAACCUGUUGAUUCAUUACUGUAGCUCUUCAGUUUUUAUUUUUCUAGUUCUAGAUCUCAUCAAGAAAUAAAACACAGAUUGAAGAAUAGAAUCUGUUCUUUCCAAUUUCUCUGCUAUUUUUCCUGCUUCUUUAGUUUUUUAUUCUACCAUAAUUUGUUACAUGGUAUUAGAGCUUGGUUGCCUAUCAAGUGUUUGAUUUUAUUACUCAGAGAAGAUGAACGGUGGAAGCAGUGUCUUUGUAGACAAACUUGUUGGUAACAAUUAUAGUUAUUGGAAGCUAUGCAUGGAAGCUUAUCUACAAGGGUAGGAUUUGUAGGAACUUAUUUCUGGUGAUGAUGUAGUUCCAGAAAAUAUGACACAAAAUGUUGAGUUGAGGAGGAAAUGGAAGAUAAAGUGUGGCAAAGCUUUAUUUGCUUUGUGAACAUCAAUUAGGAGAGAGUAUAUCGAGCAUGUUCGUGAUGAGGAGUCACUAAAGAAAGUGUGGGAGAUGCUUGAAAGGCUGAGGCUGCAGUAUUUAGAGAAUGAACUUGCUGGGAUGACUCAGGGUGGGCAAAUAAACCUACUGUCAUUGAGUUGGGGAACCUGCUCUCAAAUCAAGAAUCACUACUAAAACAAAUGUCCAACAAUAGCAACAAGUCUUUCUUUCAAGUUGAGGAUGUUCUUUAACCAAAGACCACGGAAAAAAGAACUUUUCCUCUAAACAAUAUUCUGGUGAUGGCAAGCAGUCCAAAACUGAGGGGACAAUCCAAGGAAAAAUAAAAAACUUGUUAUAGGUGUGGAAAGCUGGGACACAAAAAGCGUGAUUGUCAGGUGAAUGUGGUGUGCAGUCAAUGUGGAAAAGCAAGCCAUAUUAAACAAAAUUUUCAUGUUGAUCUCACAAAAGCAGUAGUGUGUUUUGUACAUGAAGCUAGUAAAUUUGAAUAGCAUAAAUGGCAGCAAUGCUUAUCCAUUGAAGCUAUUGAUCAAUCGGCUAACAUGACUUCUGAAGUGCACCAGACUGAUAGAGAUAUUGAUGCUAAUGUUUCCAUAGACUACAACAUGAAUUGGAUAAUUGAUUCUGGCUGCUCUCAUCAUGCAACUGGAAAUGUUUUGUUACUUUCUAAUGUUCGUCCGCAUUGUGAAAAAGAGUGAUUGUAAUCGUCGAUAAUUCACCACAUCCUGUAGUUAAAGAAGGGCAUCUCAAUUUCAGAACUGAUAUUUCAAAUGCUAAUGGUAUUUCUCUAAAAAAAAUUUAUAUCAUGUUCCAGGUUUAAAGAAGAACCUCUGUCUCUUAAUUAGUUGAUUCUGGGAGGUAUGUUCUUUUGUUCCCAAUAAUGUACAGAUUCUUUCAAAUGUAAACACAUAUUGUUGCUGAUAUUUUACUUACUGGAAAAAGGGAAAAAAUCACUAUAUGUUUUGUCUGCAAGUGAUGCAUAUGUUGAAAAGAGAGGCCAAAGUGCAAGUGUGGCACUUUGGCAUGCUCGAUUAGGCCAUGUUGAUUAUCAAUUGUUGUAGAAAAUCUCUACAAAGAAACUUCUAGAUGGAGUUCCUCUAUUUAAAGAUUUUCAUCCUGAUAUGGUGUGUGCUGGUUGCCAAUAUGGAAAAUCAUAUCAACUUCCUUUCCUAAAUUCAAAGAAUAGAGCCUCUACUGCACUACAGUUGGUUCAUUCAAAUCUUAUGGGACCAACAAAAAUACCUAGUUUUGCUCAUUUCGUUAUGUGAUGGUUAUUGUGGAUAACUUUUCUCAUUUCACUUGGGUAUAUUUCUUGGAAAACAAAAGUGAAGCUCUCUCCAAAUUUAUUCAAUUCAAAGAGCACGUAGAGAAGGAAUUUAGGCUGUCAAUAAAGUGUUUACACACCGAUAAUGGAUGGGAAUACAUGUCCAAUGAAUUUCUUGAAUAUUGCAUGGGAACAUGGAAUUCGACGUUGUCCAGAAACUUCACAACAAGAUAGGGUUGCUGAGCGCAAGUUGGCACAUCUAACGGCUAUAUGCUUGUCAUGGAUGCAUAAAAAGAACCUUGCAAGAGAGUUGUGGGCAACAACUAUCCAAUUUGCCUGUCAUGUCAUAAAUUGCUUACCUCCUUGGCCAAGAACAGAAUCAUCUCCUUUGAAGCAUUAUACCACUACAAACCGAAUGUAAGUUAUUUUCGAGCUUUUGGUUCAGUUUGUUAUGUCCACAUACUGAAAAAUAAUUGGACUAAACUUGAUCCAAGGGCAAGUGUUGUAUUUUUGUUGGUUAUGAUACUCAUAGGAAAGGAUGGAGAUGUAUGGAUCCAAAAACAAAGAAUGUUAUUGUUUUCAUGAUGUAGUGUUUGAUGAAGUGACAUCGCAUCAAGUUGAUAACAAGGACAGUAGCACAGUUGAUCUUGGGCCUUUCUUUAAUGAUCUGCAACAAGUGAAAAUGGAAGCAAUACAAUUCCAUCUGUAUAAAAUAUUCAGCAAUACGAGGCUAUUGAGACUAUAAUUCGAAGACAAAAAAAGCAACCUGAUCAUCUAGCCGAUUAUGAAGUUCAGUUAAAUUAUUUUUCUGUUUUAUCUUUUUUUUUUCAUGGGAGAUUCAGGUGGAAAUGAGCCUAAAUCCUACAAUGAAGCUAAAGGGAUUUCUGAAUUGGAAGAGGCAAUGCAGGAGGAAAUAUCAGCUUUACAAAAGAGUAACACCUGGGAGUUUGUUCCAAAGCCGAAGAACACUGAUUUGGUUACUUGUAAAUGAAUUUACAAGUUGAAGAAAAAGGCCAAUGGGACUAUUGACAUGUAUAAAGCCCAACUUGUUGCUCAUGGUUUUUCCCGGCAAUAUGGUUCACACUACGAGGAAACUUUUAGCCCGAAUGCUAAAAUGGUGACUGUUCAAAGAAUUAUUUCAUUGGAUGCUUUCAAAGGCUGGAAAUUAUGGCAACUAGACGUGAAGAAUGCAUUCCUCUAUGGAGAGUUAGAUCGUGAUAUCUUUAUGGAGUACCACAAGGAAUUAUUUCUAAGGAAUUUCCUAAUCAUGUAUGCCUGCUCAAGAAAGCUUUGUAUGGCCUCAAGCAAGCUCCACGUGCUUGGUUUGGUAACAUUGCUCAAUAUCUUGAUUUUUGUGGGUUUAAGUCUUCUAAUGCAAACCCUAGCUUAUUUAUUAGAAAACA